rnacentral:rRNA from 1 species
GUGGGGAAUAUUGGACAAUGGGCGAAAGCCUGAUCCAGCCAUGCCGCGUGUGUGAAGAAGGUCUUCGGAUUGUAAAGCACUUUAAGUUGGGAGGAAGGGCAGUAAGCUAAUACCUUGCUGUUUUGACGUUACCGACAGAAUAAGCACCGGCUAACUUCGUGCCAGCAGCCGCGGUAAUACGAAGGGUGCAAGCGUUAAUCGGAAUUACUGGGCGUAAAGUGCGCGUAGGUGGUUCAGCAAGUUGGAGGUGAAAUCCCCGGGCUCAACCUGGGAACUGCCUCCAAAACUACUGAGCUAGAGUACGGUAGAGGGUAGUAGGAUUUCCUGUGUAGCGGUGAAAUGCGUAGAUAUAGGAAGGAACACCAGUGGCGAAGGCGACUACCUGGACUGAUACUGACACUGAGGUGCGAAAGCGUGGGGAGCAAACAGGAUUAGAUACCCGAGUAGUCC